GAUGAAGAACGUAGCGAAAUGCGAUAAGUAGUGUGAAUUGCAGAAUUCAGUGAAUCAUCGAAUCUUUGAACGCACAUUGCGCCCCUUGGUAUUCCAUGGGGCAUGCCUGUUCGAGCGUCAUUUGUACCUUCAAGCUCUGCUUGGUGUUGGGUGUUUGUCUCGCCUCUGCGUGUAGACUCGCCUCAAAACAAUUGGCAGCCGGCGUAUUGAUUUCGGAGCGCAGUACAUCUCGCGCUUUGCACUCAUAACGACGACGUCCAAAAGUACAUUUUUACACUCUUGACCUCGGAUCAGAUAGGGAUACCCGCUGAACUUAAGCAUAUCAAUAAGCGGAGGA
rnacentral:misc_RNA from 1 species